AUGCGCAGCAGCCCCCCCUUCCCAGCACCCUCACUUCCGAGCAAGCGCUGGGACCCCAGAGGGAAGAGGCGGCAGGGUCGCCCCGACGCGGUGCGCGGUCGGCCCAAGCUUUCCACUCCUGUCCUCGACCCGCUGAGACCAGGCGUGCGGCCCCGGCCUCAGGGGCGCAAACGGCGUCCCUGCGGGAAAGCGUCUCCCGGAAUCCCGAGGCUGCAAUCUUACCGAGGGUGGGCCAGGCCACAGCAGGAGGCGGACCCCCCGCGGGGGCCGACCCCGACCGCGCCGCGCCGCGCCGCCUGGGUCCUGCCCCUGAGGCUGAGGAGGCUGAGGAGGCUGAGGAGGCUGAGGAGGCUGAGGAGGGCGGCCCCGAGGAGGCGGGGCGCGCGUACAUCCGGGUCCGGCACAGCCCGCGUGCCCCGACCCGUCCUCCCCUCCCCCGACGCCCCUCAGAGGCCGGUGCGCCACCCGGCACUGCCCGGGCUCGGUCUUCCCGCCUCCUCAGGGCCGUCCCCGCCCCCGCGGCCACCGCGACCCUCCGGGGCGUCCGUCCCUCCCCCACCCCCGGCCCCCGGCCCCCGGCCCCGCCCCGAGGGCUGCUGCCCUGCCCGCCUCAGGCCUCCCGGCGGCGCGGCCAUCUUAGCUGGCGCAGGCCUCCCAGCGCGCCUCUCGCCUCGUUCCAGCCGACACGCCGGCCCGCGGGUCGCGCCCCCGUCGGGCCGGCGGCGCGGGCGGCGCGGGCGGCACGGGCGGCGCGGGGGUUACCUGGACUGUGGGCCGGCGCCCCACGCGAAGCCGGAGCAGCGACCCGCCGCCAUCUUGGCGCCUCCACAGAGCGCGAGCCCCGCCGAGGCGCGAAGGGGCGGGGCCGCCGGCGGUGACGUCCCCGGGCCCCGCCCCCCCGCGCCGCGUGCCGCUCGCGCCCCGCCACGCGCCCCAGGCCCCGCCCCCCUGCGCGAGGCUCCGGCCCUCUCGCUUCGCUGCACGUCUGUGGGCGGUCGCUGCGUCAGGCCACGCCCCCUCCCGGGGCCCCGCCUUCCCUUUACCCAAUAG
rnacentral:lncRNA from 1 species